GAUGAACGCUGGCGGCGUGCCUAAUACAUGCAAGUCGAGCGAACAGAUGAGGAGCUUGCUCCUCUGACGUUAGCGGCGGACGGGUGAGUAACACGUGGAUAACCUACCUAUAAGACUGGGAUAACUUCGGGAAACCGGAGCUAAUACCGGAUAAUAUAUUGAACCGCAUGGUUCAAUAGUGAAAGACGGUUUUGCUGUCACUUAUAGAUGGAUCCGCGCCGCAUUAGCUAGUUGGUAAGGUAACGGCUUACCAAGGCAACGAUGCGUAGCCGACCUGAGAGGGGGAUCGGCCACACGGGAACUGGGACCCGGUCCAGACUCCUACGGGGGGCAGCAGUGGGGAAUCUUCCGCAAUGGGCGAAAGCCUGAAGGAGCAACGCCGCGUGAGUGAUGAAGGGUUUCGGAUCGUAAAACUCUGUUAUUAGGGAAGAAAAAAUGUGUAAGUAACUAUGCACGUCUGGACGGUACCUAAUCAGAAAGCCACGGCUAACUACGU
rnacentral:rRNA from 1 species